rnacentral:rRNA from 1 species
GUGGGGAAUAUUGGACAAUGGGCGCAAGCCUGAUCCAGCAAUGCCGCGUGCAGGAAGAAGGCCUUCGGGUUGUAAACUGCUUUUGUACGGAACGAAACGGCUCUGGUUAAUACCCGGGGCUAAUGACGGUACCGUAAGAAUAAGCACCGGCUAACUACGUGCCAGCAGCCGCGGUAAUACGUAGGGUGCAAGCGUUAAUCGGAAUUACUGGGCGUAAAGCGUGCGCAGGCGGUUGUGUAAGACAGGCGUGAAAUCCCCGGGCUCAACCUGGGAAUUGCGCUUGUGACUGCAAGGCUGGAGUGCGGCAGAGGGGGAUGGAAUUCCGCGUGUAGCAGUGAAAUGCGUAGAUAUGCGGAGGAACACCGAUGGCGAAGGCAAUCCCCUGGGCCUGCACUGACGCUCAUGCACGAAAGCGUGGGGAGCAAACAGGAUUAGAUACCCCUGUAGUCC